rnacentral:rRNA from 1 species
UACGAAGGGGGCUAGCGUUGCUCGGAAUCACUGGGCGUAAAGGGUGCGUAGGCGGGUCUUUAAGUCAGGGGUGAAAUCCUGGAGCUCAACUCCAGAACUGCCUUUGAUACUGAGGAUCUUGAGUUCGGGAGAGGUGAGUGGAACUGCGAGUGUAGAGGUGAAAUUCGUAGAUAUUCGCAAGAACACCAGUGGCGAAGGCGGACUUACUGGUCCGGUUCUGACGCUGAGGCGCGAAAGCGUGGGGAGCAAACAGG